ensembl:lncRNA
AUGUUGGCUUGGCCAUCUUGGCCAUGGGGCAAAAGAGCCACAGUACUUGUGUUCAGAGAAAUACAUCGCGAGCUCGCGGACAUUUGGCUGCCGCGAAUAUAUCAUGUUAUUACUUUAAACAGUUCAGAAACAUUUGAAUUUAGCUCUUGGUGUGUUCUAAGGGGUAGAUUGCGUGCAAUCGCCGUUUUAAAAGGUCUUAAAUAAGAGUGAAUUCCCUCGUUGUGAGCUCCGUGGAGACACUGCCUGCAUGACCAGCAGCUGAUUGUUCUCUCAUCUUUCUGACUGCUCUCUGCCCAGAAAUCAAUUAUUAAUGAGCCCUGACUCCUGUGAUAAUCAGAUAUGUUGGUUUAGCUUGUCAGUUUGAAGGAAAUUGUAUUAUUUACUUGUAUUUUUAACCAAUGUAAAAGUGAAAGUAAACAAAACUCCGGGUAUUGCAACCAGUAGGGGCGCGAUUUUUCUCAGACAAUGGAAGUCUAUGGGAAUUGAUAUUUAAAAAUUAAUAAGUCUGAUCAGUCUGAAAAGAUAUAGCACACACCACCGCUCUAUCCCGCAGGUGUCUGCCGAGUUUGGGGCUUGUGGCUUUAAAGCCCUAGGAGCAGUAGCGUUUAGUCUCAGAAAAAUAAUAAGAAGGAUCAGUUUAAAUAGCAAAACAGUAUGUUGGCUUGUUGCCAAGCCAACAUAAUAAUAUAGGCUUAGUAAUUAAAAAACAAAAAAUAAUAAUUUAAAGCUAAGCAUGAGGUAAGGUUGGGUUUUCUCAUUCGGGAGAAAUCCAAACAUUUCCAUAUUCGUGAUGUUGUCCAUUUGAAGCGUAACUAUUAUUCAUGACGUAAAUAGGCUGUGUAGUUCACGCGUGUUUCAGUAUCAUUGGGAAAAAAAUCAUAAUUAACAAUAUGUCAAAGUGCUAAUGCUGAAUGUCUGGUGAAAGACUGCUGUUUCCAGUGAAUAUGUGCGUGAGGCACCAGCGAUCAAACAGCUGAAACAAAUAAUACUUAAUUUUUGGUCACACAUAAGGCAUAAUUCAAAAAUGCAAAGUGUUGGUAGUUUGAAAAAUCAAGAAUAAUAACUAAUACUAGUUAAUACUAACUAUUGCUAAAUGCUGGACCAUUCUCAUUUUGCUCUGCAUAUGGACCCUGAAGAUUUUUUUUUAACCAAGAAUGAGCCGAAAUGAAAACAAUUAGCUAAUAUAUAUAUACACAUAGGCCAUAUAUUUAUUUACUGUUUAAUAAAAAUAGCAUGCAUAUGAUUCUUUGUGUAAAGGUCUUCUUUUAAUUUUUGUUGAGUAGACUGUUACCUUAAGAGUAUCCUACAUUUUGAAAAUAACACAUUGUAUAUUUUUUUAUGUUUUUUUAAAUGUUUCAAUGUUAUAUCAUAAUGUUAUUGUUGUUUUACUUUUACAAUUACAAUUACAUUAAUUUUGCAAUCCGUCCCUUUGCGCCACCUGGCGGUAGUUUCACGAAUGAUUUUAACACUCGACUGAAUUGCGACGGUAAUGCCCAAUUAGCCUGUCCACCUACUGUACACCUACUUACAUCCACUCCUUAUUUACAAAUCUGAAGUCCAUACAUCUGAUUUAAACGCAGAAGAGGCUUUCCUGACAACGUUCCGCAAAGCCAUUAUCUUUAUUUUACUAACUUGCUGCAUGCUAAAGGCACCCAAGCUGACCUCACCAGAAAAAAAAGUUAACACCACCAUCUAGGGGAUUGUCAAGAAAUAGAUUUUAUCAUUCUACAAAAUAGUUUACUAAAAGAUUGAUACUUGGUAUCUGUGUAUCAAUCAAGCAGCAAUCUUCCACUCCCUCUCUUGAAACCAACACAGAAGUGACUAAAACUGCAAUUCAUUGACUGGCCACUGGAGGCUUAAUACCCAAAUUUAGCAAGAAAAAAAUCAUGUUUACAGCCUGGUACAAAAAAUAUUUUUGGUCUAUAUAGGUUAACAACUUAAGUGUCAGGUGUAUUACCGCUGCUGUAAACACCAUCAAGCUAGGUGGGCGUGGUUUCAGCAACCAGCUCCUGCCUUUUUGGCUUCAGAAACAUUCUAUGGAAACCAAUGGGUGAUGUCACGGACACUACGGACAUUAUGUUUUUAUACAGUAUAUGGUAUUGAUACAGUAUUGAUAUAGCCGUUAAAAAUAUUUUGCAAUACUAUACUGUAUCAUUUUUUUCCUCCACCCCUAUUUAAAAGUAUAUUUCUCUUUUAAGGUUUAAAUCAAAACAUUUUCUUUAACUUUUUUUCUUUAAAAACUGCUAUUUUACUCUAUUUACACGGAUUUUAUGUAAAACAAAUAUUUUCAGAAAAACAAGCUGUUUAGUUAGCUACAGAAGAAGCACAUCAUGUAUUAUAAAACACAUUGUUCCAUAGUUAUGUCUACUUCAGUAUGCAGUUCAACUUCUUAAAGAUAUACUCUUGCAUAACAUCAAUAAAUUAAUUAUUAACCUCCAGAUUCUCCACCUCAAGAUACCCAUCAAGAUAAUAGAGUAGCACUUUAUAUUAUUAUUUUACAUAUUUAUUAAGUUGUAUUCAAGCAUGCUAG